rnacentral:rRNA from 1 species
GACGAACGCUGGCGGCGUGCCUAAUACAUGCAAGUCGAGCGAAGUUUUUCUGGUGCUUGCACUAGAAAAACUUAGCGGCGAACGGGUGAGUAACACGUAAAGAACCUGCCUCAUAGACUGGGACAACUAUUGGAAACGAUAGCUAAUACCGGAUAACAGUAUUUCUCGCAUGAGAGAUAUUUAAAAGUUGGUUAUGCUAACACUAUGAGAUGGCUUUGCGGUGCAUUAGCUAGUUGGUGGGGUAAAGGCCCACCAAGGCGACGAUGCAUAGCCGACCUGAGAGGGUGAUCGGCCACACUGGGACUGAGACACGGCCCAGACUCCUACGGGAGGCAGCAGUAGGGAAUCUUCCGCAAUGGGCGAAAGCCUGACGGAGCAACGCCGCGUGAGUGAAGAAGGAUUUCGGUUCGUAAAGCUUUGUUGUUAGGGAAGAAUGGAUAUGUAGUAACUAUACAUGUAAGAGACGGUACCUAACCAGAAAGCCACGGCUAACUACGUG